UCAUCUCCUUCAUCUUUUUCAUUUCUCACAACCACACUAAUUAAUCGAGAUGAAGAACGAGAAUGAGAAUGUGAGUCACGAUGAGUCGGUGCUACAGAUUCAACAUCCUUUUCAUGAGGAACAUCCCUUGGUGUUAGUGGCAGAGCAAAGCAAUGAAGGUCUCAAAGCCCACUGCGAUGGAUGUGGGGAACUGCUUUCAGCUCCAUGCUUCACUUGUAUUCAUUGCAAUUAUCACCUUCACAAGCAAUGUGCAGAGGCACCCCUUUACCUUCCUAAUCACCCUCUCCAUCCUGAGCACUUAGAUGCAGGUCUUUUUCUUCGACAAAGGCCAGAUCCUAAACAUAUGGUAUAUGGUUGUGCAUUAUGCAAGGAAAAACGUAACAUGUUUUUUAUGAAUGUCGUGGUUGUUUCUUUUCCAUUGACAUCAAAUGUGCUCAAUUAUCUUCUUCAUUUAAGUUUAGCCAACUGUCCAAACAUGACAUCCACCAACAUCCAUUGACCUUCAUAGAAAGUCCCAUGGCCAUAGAUGUACCCAAAAGAUUCAGCUGCUCCUGGUGUCAUGAACCUUUGACAAAUGCUAUAUAUUUUUGUUUUGAGUGUCCAUUUUUUAUCCUUCAUAAGAAAUGUCUUGAUGAGUUACCUACUAAAAUUAAUCACACUUCCUAUCACAUACACCCUAUUUUUCUUAACCGUAGUGGCAGUGAUUGUUUGUGCAACCUAUGCCAAAAGCAACAUUCUGGACCUUUUUAUGGUUGUUCUCUUUGCCAUUUUAACAUCAAUAUUGGCUGUACUCUUCCAAUGUCCAUUGUUGAAGGUAAAAGCCGCCAUCAACACCCAUUCACAUUAUUUCGAAGACGAGGUUCAUUCAUUUGUGAUGCAUGUGGCAUCGAGGGAAAUUCUAUUUCUUAUAUAUGUUUGAAAUGUUACAUCGAAGUCCACAAGAAAUGCACUUCACUCCCACGUAUUAUCAAAUUUUCUCGACAUGAUCACUGUAUUUUUCACAAAUAUUUUCUUGAAGAUCUUACAAGACAAGAUUGCAAGAUUUGUUUCAAAGAAGUGAGACUAGAGCAUGGGAGUUACUCUUGUGGGAAGCUAGGGUGCAAUUACGUUGUCCAUGUGAAUUGUGUCUUAGAGGAUGAUAAGUUGUACGAGGUAAUUGAGGACGAAAAGCAAUGUGAGGUAUGGUGCAUUCAGAUGUGGAAAGUGCAUAUUUGCUUUGGAUUUUGGAUGCUUAACAUUACCACGUUCAGCUCUUCACAAAAUUGAUGAACACAAGCUAAAGCUUACUUAUCAUGAUGAUAAGGAGCAAAGUUAUUGUGAUAUUUGUGAGCAAUAUAGAGAUCCAAGCCUUUGGUAUUAUUCUUGUUCAAUUUGUGAUACUUCUACUCAUCCCAAAUGUGUUCUUGGAAAUUUUCCAUUUCUCAAAGAUGGGGUCACAGCUUCUUCUUAUUAUCACAAUCAUCAUCACAAUCUUAAAUUUUUUAGGAAGGUCGAGGGCUUCCCUGAAUGCUCUUGUUGUGGAAAGUUUUGCCAAGAAGAAAUUUUCAAAUGUAAAGAGUCUACAUGCGACUAUAUUGUCCAUUGCAAAUGUCUGCAUUUCUACCAUUAAAGCUUUAUAGUAAGUACUUUAGAUGAUUAAAGAGCUAUUGUUUUCUUUUAAAUCAUCAAUGCAAUUAAUUGUUUUUAUUUCAUGAUUUUAUUUUCAUUAUUAACAUUAGUUUUAAUUGUCUUCAUGGCUACAGAUGUGUUUUGCUCAAAUGGAAAGCACUAGAGGUUUUAUCCGAUCCAAAGAGUUCGCAAAGGAUUUGACAUUUCAUUCCUACUUCUUCGAUGAAGGAUGUUCAAGUUCUAAGUGUGUUUUGAUUUAAGUGUUGUUUUGUUUAAAAUUUGUUUGAGUUUAUAUGAUUUGAACUCACUAUUACUUUGUGAUUCAUCUAUGAUAUAUUUGAGUUUGUAAAAUUUAAUUUCAGUAUUAUGUUGUGAUUUAUUGGAUUUGAAUUAUGAAAAUUAAUAAUUAUUUGAAUUAUUUAUUUCCGCAAUGUUAAUUAAUUAUUUUACCCCAUAUAUAAUGAAACUUUUGGACAUGCUUUUCUACCGCACUUGUUUAUUUGAGAAAUAAAAUUAUAUAAAGUUUUGAAUACAAUAAUAUAAAAAGAAGUUACGGAAAUUAAUUAUGUAAAUAUGAAGCUGAAUUGAGUUCAAUCUCAACUAAUUCCAAUAUUUGGCCCAAUUGGACAUCUUAAUUUCAAAAUUAUAAAUAAAAUGCAUGGUACAAUUUGAAAAUUAUAAAUAGAGUUAAUUCCAAUAUUUGGUACCUUCACCAUAGUCAGGUUGAAAAUUUUAAAUAAACAACUAAAAUAACUUUUUUAUAAAGUUCAUGAGCUUGAUGGCAGCAUAGGAAUUGAGGAUACAGUAUCACUUAUUAAGUAAAUAAAAGUUCAAAGGAACUAAACAAAGAUUUAUUCAUUGAACUUGUCUCACUCAACACCAUCACCUUAACCAAAAUAAGCACCCAACAAACUUUUAUGUUCUACAAUAAAUAUAACGUAUCACAUCGAAAUAUUUUGGACAGAUUGAUAAACUUUUAUGUUAUCAUGAUUUGAUUUCAAUAUUAUUUUGAGAUUCAUCUAUGAUUUGUUUGGGUUUGUAAGAUUUGAAUUAUUUCUUAUUUAAAUUAUCUUAAUUAAUUUAAUUAUUCUCAACAUUAUUGAUUUAUGGGUUUUAGAAGCCACCAAUUUCUAGAAUGGACUUCCAUUCCGUGAUCAAUCGUCUAUCAUUUUAGAGAAUACUCGUGAUAAGAUGAUUAAUCACUGUUGCUACGCUCAUGAUGGAUAUCUUAAUUUCUUUAAAUAAUUUUAACAAAUGUGAAAAUUUCUGAUUUUUAUUAAAAUAAUUAGUUUCUCAAAACAUAAUUUAAAUAGUAUUGAUUUAUGGACUUCCUUUUCAGCUUGGGUUGUGGAACCCAUAAUUUAAACACACACAAUAAUCCAUAAUUCUAAAAAAUAAAAUUUUUAUAUGAAUAAUCAAAAGUUUAAUCUUAAUUUCAUUAUGUAGUUUUAUUAAAAAUAUUUUAAAAAAUUAUAUAUAACAAUAGAAAUAGAGAAUGAUAGAAAAUCAGUGAAUGCACCCAUUUCUAAAUUAUAUACGAAAUAUUUAACGGCAAUGAUUAGAAUAAUUAAAUUGAAAAAAGAAUUAGAGUGACCAAAACAGGACAAAUUUUAUUUUAAAGUGACUAUUUUAUGUUGUUUAGAUUUUGAUUCACGUUUAAAAUUGUUUUACAAAAAAAAAAAAACUGAACAAUGAAAUGCAAACAAAAAAGUCAUAUAGUAAUAAUUUUAACAAAAACAUUUUGAAUAAUUAAGUAACUUAAAUGAAAACUUUAAAAUAAUUCAAUAAUCAUUUUAUAAUUUUUUAAAGUUGAAAGUUCUAAAGUGACUAAUAAUUUAAUAAAUUUCAACCUACUUUCCCCUAAAAAAUGAUUUAUAUAUAAUAAUAGAAAAUGAUGGGUAAUUUCUAUACCUAUUAUUAUCAAAUGAUUAAAUUAUCCUCUAGACACAAGCUCUCAUGGUCAAUAAUUUUAGAAUUGGUUCAAAUCAAUCACCAAUUCUUGAUUUCAUCAAAUCUAUCAAUACAAUUCAUAUAUAUAUAUAUAUAUGAAAAGCAUGUCUGAAGAAAUGCAUACAAUAAAAUCAUAACUAUAGUUCAAUGGUGUGAUUCUUGAUUAUUUUAAGGUUUACUACCAAUUAUUUUGGCAUAUUCUUUUUUCUUAUUUCAACCCCACAUCCCUGUUUGAAUAUAUAUAUAAUACAAUAAAAAUAAAUAAAUCAAUAAAUUUUAAGUAUGAGAACAAAAACUUGAAUUGAUACAGUUAGCCAAGUUCUCUCAUUUUGAUCUCUCGUUUAGUCAUAUCCGACAAUCGUAAACCACUCAUAUUUGGACAUGAAUAUAAAAAUACAAUUCACAUAACUUAGGAACACGAUGAAUGAAACAUAUUCAUAUCCAACAUAUCGAAUAUUCGACACUCACUCCCUAAUACAAAGCUACUAACAUUUAACAUAGGAUUACAUAGAGAGAGUUGCAUGAUUACACAAAGAUAAGCAAAGAUCCCACAAGUCUCCAAUGAAAGGAUAUGAUAAUCCGACGACUCUCUAGAUACAUGAAAAUCUACUUGCUCUCAGAAUACAAAUGCUUAAAGCUACUAACUAUCCCCUCUAAAUCACACCCUUAUACUAAACCGAGAAUAUAACCUCACCAAGCACAACUACAUUUGGAAGAUAACGAUUGUCACCGGUUCCAACAUCAAACAGCCCGGAUUCUCAUGUUGCCAGCUUUCAACUUUGCAUGUUAAACAAUGCCGGAAUUCGACUCGUUCGCCUCUUCCAUUUGGCUAAGCUUUUCUCCUGCUAGCUUCAAACCUCAAAAGCACAUUUUUCUACUUAUUCUAUGUUAACAUAUUUCUUGUUCAGACAAACUAAUUCCACGAUUGAACUAACUGAUCCUAUUUAAGAGAUUAUCUUCAACGAGCUCAAGAUAAGUAUUGGAUCUUCAGGACGAGCUUCUGCGUUUAUCCAAUCCGAUCCAAUUUCUUCAAAGUUAGGAAAACAUUAGAAAAACAUUUUCCUCAAUUCAAUCCAAACAAAACUCCUAGAUAUGUUGUGAUAAACAGUUUAGAUAUUAAGAAUGGGUUCGCAGUCAUCAAAGUACUAGCAAGAAUGAAAGCCUAAAAAAUUUUCUUAUAAAAAAUUGCCAACUUAAUAUGUCAAGUUUCUGAGCUGAACAAUGUCAGGCAGCAAUAGACACUAGCUUUUCUUAAGCAUUUUAUCAAACAGUUUUUAUGCGCAACACGCUUCAACAAGUAUAGCUCCCAGGUGACACAACACAUUCCCAGGUUGAUACAGAUGCAGCAGAGCCACCCGAGACAGAUUCACUGUUUAUUACCUAUUCAAACUAAUAAAUAUAUUACAUUUUUAGAGCAAUAAAGAAGAAGCUAAGAACUUCUUCCUAAGAAAAAGGUACCUUCGACACAACACAUUGCUUUUGCUGUUAAAAUCGUGGUUUAGGUUGCUAAUAAAGAAAAAAAAAAACUAAAAAAAUUGUACCUUUGACAUUUUUAGAGCAAUGAAAUAAGUUAUAUGGCUGGCAAUUUAAAUAGGAUAUGCUGGAAGUCAUUAAUCAGAGAACCAAUCAGAUAACCAAAUUUUAUGCUUUAUGCUCUCAACUCUCAAACCAACUGUAGAAAAGUAAUCUGACACUUCAACACAACAAUCUAACCCUUGAUCGUGUUCUUGCUGGUGCUUCAAGAGCCGGCCUAGAGGGACUAGUUGGUGCAGCCUGCAAGAUUCAAAUGUCAGAAACAAUUUAUUUAUAACCGUAGUGAAAUCUUGAAACCAAAGAAAGAAAGAGAGAUAAAGGAGAAGAUAUAGCUCAUUGCAGUCCAUGAUUAUCCAGUAGAUGAGAGAUUUGACCAUUACUCUUGGAGGCUUGUCUUUAGAAGAAAUCUUCGAUUGGGAAGAGAUGCUUAAUGAUCUUAGACACACCAUCUCUAUUCACGAGCUGGUCUCCUAGAGAGCCGAUAAAAUCAUUUGGCAGCUUGAUGACUAAAGCAAUUUUGUAAGGAAUCAUCUUGGUGGUAUAAUCAUUUUGGACUGCCUCGGAUGUUAGUUGGGUACAGUAUAACCCGGACUCAUUUUGCAAUGGCUACCUUGCAAGACUCAUCUGAAGCAGCUUCUCCGCUUGAUCUGGGAACAAAGUUAUAAACAGAUAUGCGCCUGCGCCAUUUCAUGAGAUUAGAUUAAAAGAGAAAAAGGACUUCAACGGAAGUUUUUUAUGGCUAUUGAAUCACUAACAAAUGUGUGCAGUUCCAAGCACGGCUGAAUUCUUGCCUUGAAUAGUGACCAAACCAGCUUUGCCAGCAUCUUACAACUUAGUUGUACCUACAGAAUCAAAUGUACCUGCAAAAACAAGAACUAUUUCAUGCUUUGCUCCCUGCAUACAUCACAACCACGGUCAUUACAACAGCAAGAAGUUGAUGUUUAACUUGGUUUUUUACAGUUUGAAGCCCUGAUGUUAUACAUGCUAUAUUCUGAAAACCAGCUUGCUCCAAUUUAUUGGCUGCAGAAGUCCAUCUUUUCAUUAAGCAUGUGGGACACCCAUAUCCGAUGCAUACUUAACAGAGUAAAACAGACUGAACCCAUAAAACCACUUUUAAGUUGCAAUAUUAAGUGAGCAUAAUCCAUGAAGCUAAUUGUACAAAUGCAAAGAAAACAGAGAAGGAACCCGACCUCCAAAAUUGCACAAGAAAAAUCAGGAUAAAAUGAGUGAACCAUUUGUCGAUUUUCCCAUCAUGCUAAUAAUUCAUGCCGUAUGCUGGUUUCUAUAAUAAAGGGUUGUAUUUAAUGAAGUAUAUUUCUAACCAAUGCCAAGUUAUGAGAAGCAGCCUGGCCAUCAUUCAACAGCUGGACAGCUUGGGAACUGUCACAUUCCACCACUACCAUCUUGAAUGGAGAGAGCAUGAAAAAUGCCCCACAAUUCCACCACUACCUUCUUGAAUGGAGAGAGCAUGAAAAAUGCCCCACAACUCCGCUCCCAGCACAUUACCAACGUAAAUAGAAUCUGGAAUAGACUUCCCCCUUUUCAGCUUGGGUCACACACAAUAAUCCUUCAUUCAAAGAAAUAAAUAGUAAAAGUUUAAUUUAGUUAUCAAGAUAUACCUAAUUUAAAUAUCAAAUAGUUAAAAAACAGAGGAGAAAAGUCUUUGUUUCACUUCCUAAUUUAAAUAUCAAAUUUUAUAAUAUUAAUGUUUUAGAUAAAUUUAUCAUUUAAUAAAAAAAUAUUAAUGUGGUAGACUACAUUUUGUUAUAAACUGUUUAUCAUUUUAGAGAACACUUAGGGCACGUUUGGUUCGCUGUAUUGGAAUAGAGGCGUAAUGGAAUAAAAUCGUAAUAGCAAAUCAAUUGUUUGGUUGAAUGUAAUAGAAUAGAAGCGUAAUAUUAUUCUUGUGUUUGGUUGAAUGGAAUAAAGGUGUAAUAGCAUAAUGGAAAAAACUAAAAUGACUAGAAUACCCUUAGCAUAAAUUUGUUUGGGUAAAUGAUUAUUGUUAUUGUUAUUUAAAAUUUAAUAAGAUUAUUAAUAUCAAUAAUAAAUAAUUUAAUCAUAUUUAAACAUAAUUAUUAAAUAUAUUAUAAUUAAAAAUAUAUAAUUUAAUAAAAUUAUUAAUAAUCAAUAUUCUUAUAUGAAUUUACUCAAAUCAUAAUAUAUGAUACUAUAAAAUAUAAUUUAACAUAAUUAUUAUUAAAUAUAUUAUAUUAAAAUAUAUAAUUUAAUAAAAUUAUUAAUAAUCAAUAUUCUUAUAUGAAUCUACUCAAAUCAUAAUAUAUGAUACUAUAAAAUAUAAUUUAACAUAAUUAUUAUUAAAUAUAUUAUAAUUAAAAUAUAUAAUUUAAUAAAAUUAUUAAUAAUCAAUAUUCUUAUAUGAAUUUACUCAAAUCAUAAUAUAUGAUACUAUAAAAUAUAAUUUAACAUAAUUAUUAUUAAAUAUAUUAUAAUUAAAAUAUAUAAUUUAAUAAAAUUCUUAAUAAUCAAUAUUCUUAUAUGAAUUUACUAAAAUCAUAAUAUAUGAUACUAUAAAAUAUAAUUUGAAAUAAUUAAUAUUAAAUAUAUUUUAAUUAAUAUUAAAUAAUUAAUGUUGACAAAUGUUUGUUCUCAUCUUGGUUACCAUCAACAUGCCCUUCAUCUUCUAACUAAUUGCCAGAAUACCACUAUAAACAAUAAUUGCAGUCCUUCAAUUCAGACAUGAAAAUUUCUCCAGAUAAAUGAUUUCCUCCCAUGUAUACUUUCUUUCUUUUUUUUUAUCUGCAAAAUUCAUGGUGGGUAAACUCUAUACAUUGUUUUUUCUGGGUUUUUGAACAUGGCUUUUCCAACUAUAGCACUCGGAUUUUGCAUCUUCAUCAUCUUCCAUGCUCUCACACCCUGUAGUGGAGGUCCCUCCGGUGUUUGUGGCUAACUGGAGAGGACCUUAAGGGGAACCCACUGCGAACUGCUCCCUUUCGAGGAUUCUCCAAACUGAUCUUGACACAUCCAUGCAUGACCACCACCCAAAACAAGGCCUGAUUGAUUUGCAUGGGUUGUUGUUGUUGUGGUAGCUGGAAGUCUUCGUGUGUGUAGCUGGUAUUUCUGGAAAUCAGGGAAGUUCUUACAUCAAUAAUCGAUAUCAAAACUUGAAAAGAAAACCAUUAAUAACAAGAAAGAACCCUCACCUGCAAAUGACUCUUAACUUCAUCAUUGGUUAAGCCAUCUACUUGCAUUAGUUCCCUAAUCUGCUUUGGAGUAGCCACUGCAAAAAAAUUUCAAAGAUUUUUGACUCAGAAACUUUAAACUAAAAGGACCAAUGAAUGAAUUGUCACAGAACAAUACAAUCCUAUGAUCUCAAUUCCCAACAGAUCUAUGGAAUCCCAAUUUCGAAUAUAUUAUCAUCUAUGGUCUCAAACAAAACCAGUCUUCCCAUUGACCAAACUUCUUAAUUCUAAUCUAGCAGGAUAAUAAACAAUCCAAGAACAGCAAAAUCAAAUUCGAAACCAGCUAAGUAUAUGUCUAACUCUCAUUCUGGAAAUCAUGAUGUGUGAUUACAUUACAAUAACUAAUAGCAAUAAGCAAAUAACCAUUUGAUGAUUGCUCACUAAUAGCAUCUAGAUAUCAAAUUAUCAAUGUAAACGAAGAAUCAGUAAACUUAAACAGACGGGACUGGUGAAAACUUAAACAAACGGGACUGGUGAAAUAUAAAUGAAAACAAUGUCCAAUGGGUUCUUUUCUAAAAAGUGAAAACAGAUGAUACAUGAUAUCUGGUAGUUUGAAUCAUUUUACAGAAAACUUAAAAUUGAAAUCAAUUAUGGAAUGCGUUACAUUCAAAAUAACAAUAAACAAAAUAUGGAUAUAACACUAGCUACAAAAGUAAUUUAACAACAUCAUGUGGUAACAAGUUCACCUGAAAGUGAGAUAUGAAAGAUAUGCCCAAAUGAAAUCAUUUAUGGCAUGAGUUACAUUCAAAAUAACAAUAACAAAAGAUGGAUAUAACACUAACUACAAAAGUAAUUUAACAAUAUCAUGUAGUAACAAGUUCACAUGAAAGUGCAAUAUGAAAGACAUGCCAUUUUCUGAAAACUGACAUGACCAGGCUUCAAGCUUAUCAUACUCUCAUUUGUAUCCCACAUAUUUCUAGUACAAUAUCAUUAAACAUAAUGCAAAGUAAAUAAACAAAGCAGCUUACUAUGAAUUGGGAAUAGACACCUAAGUAACAGGGAAAGGAAAGUAUAAAGCAGAAAGUCACAAAGAUAACAAGGCAUACCGCUGCUUUGCGGUCCCAUGAUGGAAACCACGGCAUAUGACAGACCGCAUUCAUGAAGUUUCACUUCCUUGAUAAAACUUUCGAUUCCAGUAUCAUUGAAUGAACCAUCUCCAUCACUAAGUUGAACUGAACAACAUUCAUCGCUUGUCGCUGAGAAAUCAAAUGUUCAUAGCAUGUCAAGGUAAAGCGAGAAAGCAUCCAUAAUGCACAGAACUAAACCGCCCUAUUCAUUUUUCCUUAUUAAUUUAAAAUUAAAUUUUCUAUAUCAAUUAAUCAAGGACAUUUUAGGUAUACCUCAACUGAAACAAAGUCUAUUUAUCUUUUGAUAGAGAAUUUUGACGUACUAAAUAGCUUUAACAGUGGUAAUUCAAAUUCCAGUUCUUUGUUUUUUUAUUUUCCUUAGCUUCCUCAACAACCAGACAUGCCAUAAACAUGAAAUUCAUCCCCGGUCCCGAUCCAAACAGCACAACGAAUUGCAGAUUUACACUACUAAAAGGAUCUUUAGAAAUCUAAAAAACAGUAUUCAAACCCAAAUUUCCACCAAAAGAAAAAAAAAACCCCGUAUCGCACCCUAAAUAAUAAUAAGAAAAAGAAGAAAAAAAACCAACAAAAUUAUUAAGGCAGCGCUGCUUGCUCAGCCGCUUUCUUGUGCCAUUACUUUACAAAAAUUAAACAAAUAAACCGCAAAACUAAUUGAGUAAUGAAAGGAAGAAACGGAUCACUGAAUAAGCUAUAAAUAGUGAGGAACAAAAAUGCAAAAAGAGAAAAAAAAAAGAUUAGGAUGAAACGAUUCAAGGGUUUACCCAUUGAAUCUUAUUUGAAAUUGAAAGCUCGGAAGAUGAUGAGAUCGACUCCGAUGAAAGACAGAUAAGAGAAAUAGAAAAACAAAGAUAGAUUUUGCUGAUUUCAAUUUUACAGAAAUAAAAGUUGCAACAUAAACAUCUAAAGCAACAAUUUUGCACCAGUUAACACUCUGCCAUGAAUUGAUACCGAAAAACGAGUGUUGAAUUACAGAUAUAAAACUACAGGAGAGAAAAAUUAAAAUAGAGAAAGCCGAAGACAAUGUUGAAGCAAAGAUUCAUACCUGAAAUCGGCCUCCGAUGAAGACAAUGUUGAGGAUUUGUUAUGAAAGCAGAAGAAAUGAGGACAGAUCUGUAAUACCGAUGGAAGAAGAAGCAGAAAUCUAUGAGGGCAGAAAAAGGAAACGAAAAUAAGAAAUAAUUCUCUAAUCGGCGCUGGAUGGGGGGAGUAUCUAUUACGGGACCGGAUGUAUUAGAGAAGGAACAAAUUUGGGACGUAAUGGUAAUACAAUCAACCAAACAACGGAUUAAAGAGGGAUUAGUGGGGCCCACUGAUUAGGGGUGUAUUGACUAUGCCGAUAGCCCCAACCAAACAUGCCGUUAGGAUUAGAGGAUCAAUCAUUAUUAUGUCACUCACGGUGAAUAUCUUAAUUUCUUUAAUUUUUUUAAAUAAAUUUUAAAAUAAUUAGUUUUUCAAAACUAAUUUGAAGUAUGGUUAAUAUUGGAUUAAUAAAUAUGGUUUUGAAUGUUUUAUAAAACUUAUACUUGAAAAUUUUUUAAAUGAAUUUUUGAAUAUUCCAAAAUUUAAAUAUUUUAAAUAAUUAUAUAUUUAUUUUUAUUUUACUAUUUUUCAAGUCAUGCAUACUAAGGUUCGUGAUAAGAUUAAAUCAAAAAUUUUAAUAUAUAAUAUUUAAUCAAACCAAAUGAGUUGACCAAAUUCGUGAUUGGAUUGACCAAAUCAAGAAUUGGUGGUUUAACCGAAUAGAUCAUUGGCCCAAUUUUGCAAACUUUGAUGGCAUCUAUUCUUUGUAUUAUGACAUCUAUCUUGCCCUCACUUGAAUUAAUUUUUUUAAUAAUAAAUUUAAUAUUUUUUAUUUAGACUUAUUUAUAAAAAUAUAUAUUGUACAAGCCCAAUUUACCCGGGCCCACUACCCAAAAUUUCAGACCCAAUAGCCUAACCCAAACCCUCUACCCAAUUACCCAGGCCCAAACCCGAGGCCCAAAACCCUAGCCCAAACCCAUAACAGAAAAAUAAAAAAAUUUUCAAAGCGCACCUAGGGCCUUUGUCCCUCUGCCUUCUCGGACCCUUCUGUCGCCACCGCCGGCACGUCCCAUCGCCACCUGCCUUCUGGCCACCGCCCACUUGCUCCAUCAACAUCAAACCUGCAAACAAUAAAGAAAAAAAUAGUAGAAAACAAGCUAUAAAAAAAAACUGAAACAGAUUGUACUGGGGGGCUUUUGGUUUUUGAUUUUCGGUAUAUAAGACCGAAUAUAAACAGAUUGUAAUAGAGGGGGAAACAUUGACAAAAAUCAAAAAGCAAAAACAAUAUUUUGAGAAAUAAAAGAACCAAAAUCGUGCUUUAAGGUGAUUGUCUUCUUUUUUUCGUUCUUUUUCUUGUUUCUUGUAUUAUUUAUAUUCGAAAUAAAAUAAAAAAGGAGGAGUAUUUUUUACCUUUUUGACGACGUCGGAGUGCUCGGGGCGGUUGGAGACGAUUCGGCGAAAAGGGGAGACUUUUGGUCUCUCCGCCGCCGUACACGGCGGCGUCGGUGCCGGCGAUCGGCGGCCGAGGCGGUGGUCGACGGUCGGAACCUUGGCCGGUUUCUUGGGAAGAAAGGGGGAGUUUGAGAGAGUUUUCUGGUUUUUCUUUUUAGAAAGGAAGAAGAAUGAUUUUUUAUAAGGAAAAAAUGAAUUUUAUAAGGCCCCUAAACGGCGUCGUUUAAGGCUGGCCUUAAUAGCUUAAAACGACGUCGUUUUGCCGACAGACCCUCGCAUCGACCCGACCCGAAGGGGAGGAUCCGCGUGUUUUCUUCAAAUGGAAUAAUUCCGUGCGCAGUCCCUCCGAUUUUGAAGUGCGUUGCAAUUUGCCCCUUUUCGUUAUUUUCUUUUAUUUUUAAUUUAGCCCCAGAGUUUUAUUUUGGUUCCAUUUUGGUCCACUGCAGCACUGCCUUUUGGGGCUAUGGCCUGUUUACCAUUUCGGUCCCCCCUCUUUCGGCACGUGUCACAAUUUAGUCCCUUUUGUUUUUUUAUUUCGAUUUCGCCCCUUAUUUUUGCUUUUACUUCGAUUUAGUCCCUUUUUUAGCACUUUUAUUAUUUUCUUUAUUAUUUUAAUGUAUUAUCAUGUAUUAUUAUUAUUAUUAGUUUUAGUUUUCUUUAUGUUUAUUCGUUAUCAUUUUGUUAGUUUGUAAUUAGUUUUAUAUUAUUUUUUAGCUUUAUCUUAUUCUAAAAAUACAUAUAUACAUGCAUUACAUGUUUUCAUAAUAAUUUAUUUCAUAUACAUGCAAACGCCUAUAUACAUAAAUAUUUUAUAUACUCCAUAAUUUUUAUACUUGUAUCUAUUUGCACAUCUAUAUUCUAUACACAUUUUUAAAUACAUGUAUAUAAGAUAUGCUUUUAUACACCUUUUAUUAUAUAUAUGUAUAUAUAUACUAACAUAUACUUUAUACUUUCAAAAUAUACAUUUGGUUUAUAUUCUUUAUAUUUCAUAAUAUUUAUACAUACCUAUAUUUAUAUAUAUUUUUCAUCUUCAUAAAUAUGUUUAUAUAUAUAUAUAUUCAUUAUAUUUUCAAAAAUAUAUUGUUUAUAUUCUUCGUACUUUGUGAUUUAUAUAUACUUACAUAUGUACUUUUAUGUAUUUGAUGAUAGUUCUAUACGUAUACAUGUUCGUGCAUAUAUGCUUAUGUAUUUUCAUGUAUAAUAGUUCUAAAUAGGUGUACAUGCGUAUGUUUUACAUAUCUUUAUGAUUAUGUGUAUAUGUAUAUGUAUCUUUUAUUUUAUAAUUUUGUUAAUUUCGUUUAUUUAUUAAUUCACAUGACUGUUAUUGUUAUUUUCCUGCUUUAGUUUUUAUCUUUUUUAUUAUUUGUUAUUGUGCUUACACGAUUAUUUUAUACUAGUCUUAUUGUUCGUGUAUAUUUUGUUUUGCUCGUGUUGUUUUAUUCACAUUAUCAUCUUUAUCAUUAUUUUACAUCCAUUCUUACUCGGAUUUAUCAAAAAACGAAAAAUUUCAAAAUAUAAGUAAUACUUGGUAUUUUGGUUCUUCGAGAGAAUCGAUCCCUAACGUACUGGGUUUCGACUUUCUUCAUUGAAUUUAAAUAAUCAAGAUUACUCUUUUAAAAAUGAUAAAAAAGCUCGUUUUCGAGAAUUUAAUACGUUGUGUCCUAACGUAUUGGAUAUGACACAUUACUUUCUCUAGACAAGAAUUUUUCAAAGUGAAUGUAAUAUUCGACGUUUAAUAUUUUGAGAAAUCGUACCCUAACUUACUGGGUUUCGAUUUUCCCAAUAUAUCUAAACGCACGAAUGUUUUCAAACUUAAGUUUUAAACGAUCUCGGGAAUUAAAAAAUGAUCGUGUCCUAACUUAUUGGUCGUGAUCCCUUUUUUAAUUCGAGAUAGUUAAACAUCUUUUGAAUAAGCAUUUUUCAUUCGCGUACCGGGAAUUCGAGACAUCGUGUCCUAACUUACUGGAUAUGAUUCUCUUUCUCGAUUAACGUGAAAUAUCCCCCUUUUCCCGAAAAUUUUUAUCAUUUUAAUACAAGGAUCGUAUGUUUAAAACUCUUCAAAGUUUUCAAUUUUUGACAUUAAGAUAUUAGCUAAUCAACUAGGUAUCAAUUUUGGGCGUUACGAGUGUGUUAAUCCUUCCUCGUACGUAACCGACUCCCGAACCCAUUUUUUUCUAAAUUUCGUGGACCAAACUCAUUGUUUUAAUAAAAAUUAAAUUGUUUAUUAAAACAACCACUUUUUGAGGUGAUCCAAUCACACCUCACAAAAAGGAUUGGUGGCGACUCUCGUUUGAUGUAAACAUAUAUAUUUGAAUUUUUUUUAAUAGUCAAAUGGAUUAAAUCUCUCAAAAUUUUCAUAUAAGAAUAUUUUUUUAUAAAAUAUUCAAAUAAAAGUUGUUAAAUUUAUUUUAUAUUUUUAAGUAUUAUUUUAUUUAAUUAUCAUUUACUCUUUCAACAUUUAUUGGACAAUCAAAUGUUUAAUCUUAAUUUGACUAUUUGAUUUUUUUUUGAAUAUUUUAUCUAUUAACUGCCAACAACUUUUUAUAGAAAAAUAGAACAAAUACGAAAAUUAUAUAUAAUAUUAGAAAUAGAAAAUGAGUGAAUGGACCCAUUUGUAUGCUACAUAUUAUCCAGGCUGCUCUUCUCAACGUUUUUGGCAAAAGUCGCUUGUCACAGAGGCUGAUGAUGAUGAUGAUGAUGAUGAUGAUGAUGAUGGAGGAAAUAUAAUUUCCAAUUUUCACUGUAGUAGAGUUUUGAAAAUUAAAAAAAAUAAAUGUCAUGUGAACAAAUCAGUGGAACAAAAUGGAAAAUUUAGCUGCAAUCAUUAUUUUACAUAAUUAUUUUAAUUAGAGUGAUUAAAUUUAAAAAAAUUAGAGCGAUUAAAAUAGGAUAAAUCUUAUUUUAAAAGUGACUCUAUUUUAUGUUGUUUGGAUUUUUAUUAAUUAAUUCGUGACAUUUAGAAUUGUUUCAUGAAAAAUAAAAACUGAACAAUGGAAGAGAAGGGUAAGGAAAGUUUUCACGGUGCGAACAAAGAAACCGUGAUAAUUAAGUGACUUAAAUAAAAACUUUAAAAGAAUUCAAGAAUCAUUUUAUAAAUUUUUAAAAUUAAAUGACUAAAAAAUUUAUUAAUAAUUUAAUAACAUGUUGUUUUAAAAAAUGGUUUUUAUUGAUCUUAAUUGGACCAUUUAAUUUUUUUAAUAAUUAAUCCAUAAACUACCAAACAUAUUUUCUAGAAAAAUAAAACAACCAUAAAAACUAUAUAUAAUAAUAGAAAUAGACAAUGACUUUUGGAGUUAAAAGGAAAAGAGAGAUCUAACCCUUGAUGGUGCUGUUGCUGGUGCUUCAAGAGCCAGCCUAGAGGAGCUAGCUGGUGCAGCCCACAAGAUUCAAAUAUCAGAAACAAUUAACUUAUAUCCAUAAACACUAAAGAAAUAAAGAGAGAUAAAAAGAGAACAUAUAGUUCAAAAACCAUGCAGGGAAAAGAAAUAUCAGAGUUUUAACUAACUAUCAUAUUUUAAAUAGAUAAGUUAAACAAUCUCAAACCUACGUUAUAAAAUAAAGAAAUAAGUAAUAAUUACAAACAUAAAUAUAAACGAUUAAGGAAAAUUCUGCUGAAACUUUUAAAUAAAAGCAAAAUAAACUCCUAAUUUGAGAUUCCUUCGAUGUCAUUUCGAGUCUUAAUUUUCCGUGCUACUUGAGAAGAAAAGAAAGGGAGGAAUGAACUUACAACGACUUAGUAUGAGACUAAUCUUAAAUCAUUAUAUAUAAUUAUUCUAAAGUAUUUAAUCCAUAGCAUAAGAGUAUAUUACGCAUUAUGCAAUGAUCAUUCAAUAAUUUAAUGCAUGUACAAUUAUAUUCAUGGGUAGACGGACGUAUGGGUAGUGGUGCUAGAGGUCACUGGCGUAGUUGUGGAGGUGGUGAGCGACACUUAGCGCUAGGGGUUUACUUUUUUAUGAAAUAGGAAUUGAUAGGGAAGGGAAUUAGGGAUUGGGAUUAGGAAGGGGAAGGGGAAUGACCGAAUAAAGUAUUGGAUCUGGGAGGGAAUAGGGUAGAAAAAUUUACGUAAUAAAAUAAGGCUGGCCCGAACUGAAAAACUUUGCCUAAAACUCGACCUAUUUUUUAAACGGACCUUAAAAAAAUCACUGUUCUAAUUUAACUAAAACCGGGCUAUUACAUAAAGGUUUCGAUUUCUGCACAAUUCGAUAUUAAAGCUCGACAUUUCACGUUCUUGAGUCAAGGUGGGAUAGGCUUAAUAGGCUAGGAGAUCAUCAUCUAUUUGGCUAAUAAGUCCAUUAAAAAUAAUGAAAUAUAAAAAUAUAAAAAACUAACUCUAAUGGGAAAUUUAAACUCAUUAUUAGAAAGAAAUUGUACUACGUUGACAAUGUGUCGGGGAUCGACUCGUAUAAACAAUAAACAAGUAAAUUUGGAGAAGACGAACACAAAUAUUUUACGUGAAAAACCCUCAAAGAGGGAAAAAUCAAGGGUAAAGAAGGCUUCAGCUUUUCAGUAAUUGAAUAAAUAAACGAUAGUACAAUAGGAAGAACUCGGGUUGAUGAUCACUGAUGUAUAGCAUAUUUUAUUAUUGUUCUUAUUAAUUUAAGCGUUAUAGAAUAAUAAUUUUAAGUAUGGUUAAUAUUGGAUCAAUAAAUAUGGUUUUGAAUGUUUUCCAAAACUUAUAAACCAUAUACAUAUUUUCUUGGAAAACUUGAAAUGAAUAUUCGGAUUAUUUUAAAACAAUUAAGUUAUUAUUAUAAACAAUGACAUUCUUUUAUUUGUUUCUACGUUUGUUUUAUAAUUUAUUUUCUGAGUUCAUGACUAUUUUCUCAAGAAUGUCGUCUUCAAUGUUUAAACCUACGUUCUUUGUUUAAGAGUGCAAUGUAUCUUAUCAUUGCACCCUACACUUGUUGGUAUGAUAUACUUAAACAAUUAAUUGUAAUUCUAUACUAAAAACAAAUAUUAAUUUAAAGAAACAUAUUUAAAUUUGAAAUAUUCAAUUUAUAUUAUUUUUUUAACUUACUAAAUCCAUAAAUUAAUCGUAUAAUCAAUAGAUGGAAUAGUAAUAUUUAGAUUUAAUUCAUCAAUAAACAAAUUAUGAAAUUUGAUAUUAUAAAAUUAUAAAAAUGACAUAUAUGUCUUUAAAUUAUAAAAUCAUCUCUUAAUUCUUCAUUUCUUACUCUUUAGAAUAUUAAUGAUUAUCUAUUUAAGUUUUGUAGGUCUCCCUUUUAAUUACCAAAACUAACAUUCUUUGUGCUUACAAUUAAGCAAAACCACAAUACUUUUAUUUUUAUUUUUAUUAUUAAAGUGAUAAGCUUUGGAUACUUCAACAUGUAACACCCCUUACCCGAGACCGUUGUCGGAGUCAAGCACGAGGCGUUACAUGACUUAACUUACUAGUUCGGAGCAUAAAAAUUUGCUUUUAAAAUUAAUUCACUCAGGUUCAUUCAAUAUGUACCUAAAAAGAGCCCUCGAAACCCUAAAACAUGUAACAAAAACGGUUUUGGUCCAAACCGGGAACAUUAAAAUUUUUUCGAAUACUUAAACAAAUCAAAAUAAUUUAUUUCACUGUUUACAAUAAAAUUGUCCACACAUGCGAUAGUCACUAAUUUAAUUAUAAAUCGAGCUACGAAACUCAAAAUUUAGAUCCGUAAAUUUUCCCUGAAACUAGACUCGUAUAUCUUCUUAUCAUAAAAUUUCCAAAAUUUUUGUGUUAGCCAAAUGGUACAGUUUAUUCGUUAAAUUCUCCCAUGUUUCACUAUCUGACUAUUCUGACCCCUAUUCACUAAAAAUCAUUUAUCUCAUUGUACAUGCUUCAUAUAGUUCUUCUGCUUGUUUAUAUUGAUCAAAAUAGGCUCACUAAAAAAUCUGUACAUAUAAAUUAUAACUCAUAAUUCUUUCUGUACAAUUUUUAAUGAUUUUCUAAAUUCAAAAUAGGGGACUUCAAAAACAAUUCUGACAUUGUCUCACUAAAAUUCAAAUAUCUCAUAAUAUAAAAUUCAUUUGCCUACACUGUUUCUUUCAUGUUAAAAUAGACUCGAUAAGAUUUAAUUAUAUAUCUCAUUCACUCUCUAAUUCCAUUUCUACUAUCCUUGGUGAUUUUUCAAAAUCACAUCAUAUGUUGCUGUCCAAAAACUGUUCCAUUGCAAAUUCUUACUCUGUUAUAAUUUCUUUGUAUUAACUAUCAUUUAAGCAUACAUAACACCAAAACAUGUUCUUAAAUAGCCAUUUCAAUAGCUAAUCAUCAUUGAGUAUUUUCAUGCCAUUCAUUGGCCAUAUCAUAAGGACACAUACAAAAUGACUAAGUCCCUAUACAUACCAUAACUUUACACGUUUCGAAUCAUAAAAUACCGAAAUGGUCUAUUGAUAGUGUGAAGUGAUCUCCGACAUCCAUACGAUUCCUGACUUGGCUUGGAGAUACUAUAAAAAUAAGGAAAAUAAAGGAAGUAAGCAUAAAGCUUAAUAAGUUUACAAGCAAAUAAAUAAUAACAUUUAUCAUAAAUAAUUAUAUUCAUAAGUUAUCAUCAAGUAUCAUGAUCUUUACUUUCUUCUUUACUUACUUGCUUACUUGUUUACUUACUUGCUUACUUAAAUAACUCAUGAUUAUAACUUACUCCUCCCUUGCUGAAAUAUUUUUCUCAACUGAUAACUGAGAUAUUCUUAACCCUUAUAACUCACUUGAAUCUAUUUAUUAUGCUUUUAGUUGAUGUUUCAUGUAACAUAGUCUAUUUACUUGCCCGUUGAACCACUUAGAAUACUAAGGAUACUCGAGUCUCCUGUCUGAUAAUAACAUGCCAAAGCCAUGUCCCAAACAUGGUUUUACAUGGGAUGUUUCCUGUACUGUCAAUGUCAUAUCCCAGAUAUGGUCUUACAUGAGAGUUCUCAUAUCGGUACCCAUGCCAUGUCCCAGACAUGGUCUUACCGGGGACCUCUCAUCUCGGUGCCAAUGCCAUAUCCUAGACAUGGUCUUACAUGGGACCUCUCAUAAUCUCAAUAAUGCCAAUGCCAUGUCCCAGACAUUGUCUUACAUGGGAUCUCAUCCCCUUAAUGUCAUGACAUUUGUAUCUGAUACAUUCCUAAUGUUUCAACAAGACUUUUUAACACUGAUUCUCUAUCAUCUCAUACUUGAGUCAACAUUAAAUAAUUUCAUGAAAUAAGUACAUAAUUGCUGGAAAAUAAAAACAAUAAUAAUUAUUGAAAUAUUGCAUUUAUUUACCGUAAACGUACCUCGGUACAAAAUACGAUCAAAUCUAGCAACUUAGUCCUCAACCUUUUUCUUUCCCUGGUCUAACUUCGGAUUUCGUUCCUCUUGAUUUAGAAUAGAAAAUUUAGCUUAUUUAAUACUCACAUUCAUCAAAAUAUUCCUUGACUCGAACUUUGGCAAAAUUAUAAUUUCCCCCUAAAAUUUUACAUAUUUACACUUUUUCCCCCAAAGCUCGGAAAUUAAACUUCAUCCCUUAUUCUUAUAUUUUAUGACAUGCCGAACAUCUUUCCCUUAAAUGGAAACAUCAAAUUCCCACUCUAACAUUUACUUAUGAACAUUAGGUAUUUUUACCGAUUAUGUCGUUUUACUCGUUUUCACUUAAAAUCACCUAGCAAAAAUUGUUUAACAUAAUUUCAAACUUCACCCUAAAACAUCAAAAUAAACACAUUUCACCUAUAUGUAUUUUUCCAAAUAUGAACCCUAACAUGAAUUAAUGGUAGAAUAAGCUAAAUCGAGCUACGAGAACUCCAAAAACAUAAAAAAAAUUUAAAAACGGGGCUUGGAUGUACUUACUAUGAGCUUGAGAAAGUGAACAAACCCUAGCUAUGGUGUCCUUGAAGUUUCGGCCUUAUGGAAGAAGAUGAGCACAUUUUGCCAUCUUUUCCCCAUUUUAAUUCUUUUUAUUACCAAAUGGCUAAAAUACCCUUUAUUAAAACUUUAGUUAUUUUUAUCUAUGCAUGCCCAUUUUUGUCCAUGAAAAUCUAAUGGCCUAAUUACCAUUUAAAGACCUCUACUUCAAUUAUGCACUUCAAUUAAAUCCUUUAUCAUCUAAAACUCAUAUUUACCCACUUUUGCAAUUAAACCCUAAUAUGCAAUUCAGAAUGCAAUCGCUGAAAUUUCUUAUCAGUAUGCCAACAUAUGCAUCCAAUCAAUCGGUAAAUCAUAAAAAUUAAUGACAAUAAACUUUUUUUAUCUCGGAUUCGUGGUUUUGCAACCGCUGUUCUUUUUAGACCCUAUUUUGGAAUGUUACAUUAACAUCUCAAAUAAGUCACUUUGGCAUAUACCCUACUUGCUACAAUUAUAUAAAGUAAAACAUAUAAGCAUAAAAAUUCCUUUUGGCAUGAAUGCAUUAUUAAUUAAAACAAUCAAUGUGCUUAUCUAAUUUGUACAUAAAAGAAAAGAACAAUUUUUACUUUUAAUUUAAUUGUCUUUUCUUUCAUGAAAUUCCGUGUUUUUUUAAUUGAUAUGUUUUCGAAUCAACUUCUUUAAGUAUAUCGUACGCUUGAUGCAUUAAAAUUUUUUAACUAUGAUAUAAAAGUACAAAAAAAUAAUAUAAAAACAUAUUAUAAAUGAAAUAAAAUAUAUAAAUUAUUAAAAAUUUCCAAAAAAAUUUAAUAAUUAUUAAAAUAACAAAAAGUAUAUGUAAAUUACAAAAAAAUUAAAAAUUAUGAAAUUAUGAAAAAAUAUUUAAAAAUAUAGAAAAUUAUUAAAAUUGUUAAUAAAAUUUACAAAAUAUUAUAAAAAGCAUAAAAUUGUUAACAAAAAUUUUAAAAUAUUAAGUUAGUAUCAUAAAUAAUGACACUCUUUUUUUUACUAUUUUUCAAGUUUGUUUUAUUAUUCAUGUUCUAGGUUCGUGACUGCCUCUCUCAAUAAUAUUGUCUUGAAAGUUCAAACCUACGUUCUUCGCUUAAGAAUGCAAUGUGUAUUAUCAAUGCAAUGUGCAAUUGUUUUUGGCUUAUCGAUUUAAUUGGUUUCCAAUUAAAUUCUUGCCGUUAAUAAAAAAAUCAAUUAAAUAUUUUCUUCUUUAAUCAUAUUAAUAGUUAAACUCAAUUGAUGGACCAAUUAGAUAUAUAAGAAUAUAUAGAUAACAAUUCCGUAUGAUUGUGGACUGUUGUCCAUGUAUUCAUGGCAUGAUGAAGACCCAUCCAAAGUAAUUGCCUAAUUUGCAAGAAAAGAACAAAAAUUACUGUAAUAAAGAAAGCAAAGAAUUUUUCUUGUAGAAAUGCUUUACUUUGUUCAGACUUUUUUAUGACAUAUAAACUUUACUUUUAAUUUAAUUGCCUUUUUUUUAAGAAAAUUUACGUUUUCGGAUUAAAUUCUUUAAGUAUAACAUAUGGUAAAAACUAAGGCUAAAGGGUCUUUAAAGUCCCUGAAGUUUUUCCAAAAAAAAAAAACUAAUUAAGCCCUUAUAUAUAUUUUUGCAUCCAAUUGAGCUAUUGAACUUUAAAAUAUUUAAAUUCUUUGAGUAUAACAUAUGCAUUGUAAUUUUUUAACUAUGAUGUAAAAAUUAAAGCUAAAGAGUCUUUAUUAAAUAUGAAUUGAAUUCAAUGGCUUCAGGUUGAUGCUUGAAAGGAUCUUAACCAUUGUUUUCUUUAUUUACUUGCUAGGACUUUGUAGGCAACUAUUUUUCAAUCAUUCCUUUAUUCGUUGUUUUAUUCAUCGUCUUCCUUUCAUUCAUUGCUAUCAUCUCCUUCAUAUUUUUCAUUUCUCACUAACACACUAAUUAAUGGAGAUGAAGAACGAGAAUGAAAGUGUGAGUGUGAGUAAGAACGAGAGUGUGAGCAAGAAUGAGAAUGAGAGUCACGACAAGUCGGUGCAACAGAUUCAACAUCCUUUUCAUAAGGAACAUCCCUUGGUGUUAGUGGCAGAGCAAAACAAUGAAGGUCUCAAAGCUUACUGCGAUGGAUGUGGGGAACUGCUUUCAGCUCCAUGCUUCACUUGUUUUCAUUGCAAUUAUCACCUUCACAAGCAAUGUGCAGAGGCACCCCUUGAAAUUCCUAAUCACCGUCUCCAUCCCAAGCACUCAUA
rnacentral:lncRNA from 1 species